AAAGCAGGGGAUCGUAAGACCUUGCGCUUUUGGAGCGGCCGAUGCCUGAUUAGCUAGUUGGUGGGGUAAAGGCUUACCAAGGCAACGAUCAGUAGUUGGUCUGAGAGGACGGCCAGCCACACUGGGACUGAGACACGGCCCAGACUCCUACGGGAGGCAGCAGUGGGGAAUUUUGGACAAUGGGCGCAAGCCUGAUCCAGCAAUGCCGCGUGAGUGAAGAAGGCCUUCGGGUUGUAAAGCUCUUUCAGUCGAGAAGAAAAGAUUGUGACGAAUAAUCACAAUUCAUGACGGUAUCGACAGAAGAAGCACCGGCUAACUACGUGCCAGCAGCCGCGGUAAUACGUAGGGUGCAAGCGUUAAUCGGAAUUACUGGGCGUAAAGGGUGCGCAGGCGGCUUUGUAAGUCAGAUGUGAAAUCCCCGGGCUUAACCUGGGAAUUGCGUUUGAAACUACAAAGCUAGA
rnacentral:rRNA from 1 species